rnacentral:tRNA from 1 species
GUCCUCGAAGCUCAACUGGAUGAGCGCCGAAUUCCUACUUCGGAGGUUGCUGGGUUCGAUCCCCGCCGAGGACC